GACGAACGCUGGCGGCGUGCUUAACACAUGCAAGUCGAACGGAAAGGCCCUGCUUUUGUGGGGUGCUCGAGUGGCGAACGGGUGAGUAACACGUGAGUAACCUGCCCUUGACUUUGGGAUAACUUCAGGGAACUGGGGCUAAUACCGGAUAGGAGCUCCUGCUGCAUGGUGGGGGUUGGAAAGUUUCGGCGGUUGGGGAUGGACUCGCGGCUUAUCAGCUUGUUGGUGGGGUAGUGGCUUACCAAGGCUUUGACGGGUAGCCGGCCUGAGAGGGUGACCGGCCACAUUGGGACUGAGAUACGGCCCAGACUCCUACGGGAGGCAGCAGUGGGGAGUAUUGCACAAUGGGCGGAAGCCUGAUGCAGCAACGCCGCGUGCGGGAUGACGGCCUUCGGGUUGUAAACCGCUUUCGCCUGUGACGAAGCGUGAGUGACGGUAAUGGGUAAAGAAGCACCGGCUAACUACGUG
rnacentral:rRNA from 1 species